AUUAACCUUUCACAAUGACUGUGUGGUUGCUGUGAAGUGCUAUGCUAUUUUUUCGGCAACUCUGCUUGUUGAGCUCCUGGACUAGCGGAGUUGGCUGAGUACCAGAGGUUGAUUGCUGGCCACCAGCAACUCACAUUUUUGCUUUUGCCUGAAGCAAUCCUAGGAUGUUCACCACAAAGUUCUUCUUACAGAUGAGGGUUUCACAUAUGGUUUUUAGGAGAUAGAAGGGUUCAGAGGAAGGGCAGGGAAUGAAAGCAGUUCACAGUUUUAGUUCCUAGGGCUUUACUGACAGUGAAUCGACAUUUCUAAAAUGGUCCUCUUCUAUGAUUUCCUUGAACAGAAUAUCUAAACAAAGUGAAUGAAACCAGCAACUAAAGCAAGUUCAGAAGCAAAUACAAAAGCAAACCUCUUCUCCAGUUUGGGCUGCUGCUGUUGGCUCCCUUGCACUUUCUUCAAAUGCAGCUGGAGUGAAAAAAAGGCAAGUACUGAAGCUGCAAGUAUGAGGCCACCUCUUUUCCUUUGUUGAACUACAAGGAUACAGCACAGAGGAGGAAAGAAGAGAUGAAUAUGCUUAGGGAAAAGUAACCAG
rnacentral:lncRNA from 1 species